GGGUUGUGAGGUUAAGCGACUAAGCGUACACGGUGGAUGCCCUGGCAGUCAGAGGCGAUGAAGGACGUGCUAAUCUGCGAUAAGCGUCGGUAAGGUGAUAUGAACCGUUAUAACCGGCGAUUUCCGAAUGGGGAAACCCAGUGUGUUUCGACACACUAUCAUUAACUGAAUCCAUAGGUUAAUGAGGCGAACCGGGGGAACUGAAACAUCUAAGUACCCCGAGGAAAAGAAAUCAACCGAGAUUCCCCCAGUAGCGGCGAGCGAACGGGGAGCAGCCCAGAGCCUGAAUCAGUGUGUGUGUUAGUGGAAGCGUCUGGAAAGGCGCGCGAUACAGGGUGACAGCCCCGUACACAAAAAUGCACAUGCUGUGAGCUCGAUGAGUAGGGCGGGACACGUGGUAUCCUGUCUGAAUAUGGGGGGACCAUCCUCCAAGGCUAAAUACUCCUGACUGACCGAUAGUGAACCAGUACCGUGAGGGAAAGGCGAAAAGAACCCCGGCGAGGGGAGUGAAAAAGAACCUGAAACCGUGUACGUACAAGCAGUGGGAGCACGCUUAGGCGUGUGACUGCGUACCUUUUGUAUAAUGGGUCAGCGACUUAUAUUCUGUAGCAAGGUUAACCGAAUAGGGGAGCCGAAGGGAAACCGAGUCUUAACUGGGCGUUAAGUUGCAGGGUAUAGACCCGAAACCCGGUGAUCUAGCCAUGGGCAGGUUGAAGGUUGGGUAACACUAACUGGAGGACCGAACCGACUAAUGUUGAAAAAUUAGCGGAUGACUUGUGGCUGGGGGUGAAAGGCCAAUCAAACCGGGAGAUAGCUGGUUCUCCCCGAAAGCUAUUUAGGUAGCGCCUCGUGAAUUCAUCUCCGGGGGUAGAGCACUGUUUCGGCAAGGGGGUCAUCCCGACUUACCAACCCGAUGCAAACUGCGAAUACCGGAGAAUGUUAUCACGGGAGACACACGGCGGGUGCUAACGUCCGUCGUGAAGAGGGAAACAACCCAGACCGCCAGCUAAGGUCCCAAAGUCAUGGUUAAGUGGGAAACGAUGUGGGAAGGCCCAGACAGCCAGGAUGUUGGCUUAGAAGCAGCCAUCAUUUAAAGAAAGCGUAAUAGCUCACUGGUCGAGUCGGCCUGCGCGGAAGAUGUAACGGGGCUAAACCAUGCACCGAAGCUGCGGCAGCGACGCUUAUGCGUUGUUGGGUAGGGGAGCGUUCUGUAAGCCUGUGAAGGUGUGCUGUGAGGCAUGCUGGAGGUAUCAGAAGUGCGAAUGCUGACAUAAGUAACGAUAAAGCGGGUGAAAAGCCCGCUCGCCGGAAGACCAAGGGUUCCUGUCCAACGUUAAUCGGGGCAGGGUGAGUCGACCCCUAAGGCGAGGCCGAAAGGCGUAGUCGAUGGGAAACAGGUUAAUAUUCCUGUACUUGGUGUUACUGCGAAGGGGGGACGGAGAAGGCUAUGUUGGCCGGGCGACGGUUGUCCCGGUUUAAGCGUGUAGGCUGGUUUUCCAGGCAAAUCCGGAAAAUCAAGGCUGAGGCGUGAUGACGAGGCACUACGGUGCUGAAGCAACAAAUGCCCUGCUUCCAGGAAAAGCCUCUAAGCAUCAGGUAACAUCAAAUCGUACCCCAAACCGACACAGGUGGUCAGGUAGAGAAUACCAAGGCGCUUGAGAGAACUCGGGUGAAGGAACUAGGCAAAAUGGUGCCGUAACUUCGGGAGAAGGCACGCUGAUAUGUAGGUGAAGUCCCUCGCGGAUGGAGCUGAAAUCAGUCGAAGAUACCAGCUGGCUGCAACUGUUUAUUAAAAACACAGCACUGUGCAAACACGAAAGUGGACGUAUACGGUGUGACGCCUGCCCGGUGCCGGAAGGUUAAUUGAUGGGGUCAGCGCAAGCGAAGCUCUUGAUCGAAGCCCCGGUAAACGGCGGCCGUAACUAUAACGGUCCUAAGGUAGCGAAAUUCCUUGUCGGGUAAGUUCCGACCUGCACGAAUGGCGUAAUGAUGGCCAGGCUGUCUCCACCCGAGACUCAGUGAAAUUGAACUCGCUGUGAAGAUGCAGUGUACCCGCGGCAAGACGGAAAGACCCCGUGAACCUUUACUAUAGCUUGACACUGAACAUUGAGCCUUGAUGUGUAGGAUAGGUGGGAGGCUUAGAAGUGUGGACGCCAGUCUGCAUGGAGCCGACCUUGAAAUACCACCCUUUAAUGUUUGAUGUUCUAACGUUGACCCGUAAUCCGGGUUGCGGACAGUGUCUGGUGGGUAGUUUGACUGGGGCGGUCUCCUCCUAAAGAGUAACGGAGGAGCACGAAGGUUGGCUAAUCCUGGUCGGACAUCAGGAGGUUAGUGCAAUGGCAUAAGCCAGCUUGACUGCGAGCGUGACGGCGCGAGCAGGUGCGAAAGCAGGUCAUAGUGAUCCGGUGGUUCUGAAUGGAAGGGCCAUCGCUCAACGGAUAAAAGGUACUCCGGGGAUAACAGGCUGAUACCGCCCAAGAGUUCAUAUCGACGGCGGUGUUUGGCACCUCGAUGUCGGCUCAUCACAUCCUGGGGCUGAAGUAGGUCCCAAGGGUAUGGCUGUUCGCCAUUUAAAGUGGUACGCGAGCUGGGUUUAGAACGUCGUGAGACAGUUCGGUCCCUAUCUGCCGUGGGCGCUGGAGAACUGAGGGGGGCUGCUCCUAGUACGAGAGGACCGGAGUGGACGCAUCACUGGUGUUCGGGUUGUCAUGCCAAUGGCACUGCCCGGUAGCUAAAUGCGGAAGAGAUAAGUGCUGAAAGCAUCUAAGCACGAAACUUGCCCCGAGAUGAGUUCUCCCUGACUCCUUGAGAGUCCUGAAGGAACGUUGAAGACGACGACGUUGAUAGGCCGGGUGUGUAAGCGCAGCGAUGCGUUGAGCUAACCGGUACUAAUGAACCGUGAGGCUUAACCUUACAACGCCGAAGCUGUU
rnacentral:rRNA from 1 species